CUACUCAUGCAGUCUCUCGGUCCCAUGUUAUGUUGAUGGUGGAUGAAGAAGAAAGUGCCUUCAAUGACUGCCUACCCGAACCUCUCAGCCCUUCAGCUUCCUUCUCAAACUUGGGUUCCAUCAACUGUGUGGAAGCAUUUCCAGUGUUUCUGGGUACAGAUUCAUAUCGGUAGGAGAAACGGAAACACUGCUCAAGGUCUCCAAGCCUGAGGUCAAACUCAGCCAACGCCGUGAAAGAUGGAACCCUCAAUAAGAAGCAGAAUGUGGAGCGGCCAGUGUGACGAGCAGCAGGAGGGGACUGGUGUGGUUGGUGACAUCACUUGAAGCAGACAGCUUGGGAAGAUUUGUCAGGGUUACCAUCAAGGGUAUAAUUUCUCAGCGACGGUCCAGACUUCCUGCUGGUCCUGAGCACGCAUAGUCAGGCAUGGUCCAUCACUCUAACCCACGUGUGUGGCAAGAAGGUCCUUCGGUGAACAGGGGUGGGGGUAUUAUCACUGAGGUACCCACAAAUCAGAUCUAAGCCCAUUUGAUUUUAUCUAUGUCACAGCCAAAACUCAACAACUGUAAUCGACUUUCUAUCAUUAAAGAUGUCAAAUUAUGGAAACAUUUGAGUUUCCCAUAGCUUU